rnacentral:lncRNA from 1 species
CACGCUUCCUCAUGCUAUUCUUCGAUUGGACCUUGCUGGCCGUGACCUUACCGACAACCUCAUGAAGAUCCUUACCGAGAGGGGUUACUCCUUCACCACAACCGCCGAGCGAGAAAUUGUCCGUGACAUCAAGGAAAAGCUUGCCUACGUUGCCCUUGACUAUGAGCAGGAGCUGGAGACUGCCAGGACCAGCUCCACUGUUGAGAAGAGCUACGAGCUGCCCGAUGGCCAGGUUAUCACGAUCGGUGCAGAGAGGUUCAGGUGCCCUGAGGUGCUGUUCCAGCCAUCCUUCAUUGGCAUGGAAGCUCCUGGUAUCCAUGAAGCCACGUACAACUCCAUCAUGAAGUGCGAUGUCGAUAUCAGGAAGGAUCUGUAUGGUAAUGUCGUCCUCAGUGGUGGCUCCACGAUGUUCCCUGGUAUUGGUGACCGUAUGAGCAAGGAGAUUACUGCACUUGCCCCGAGCAGUAUGAAGGUGAAGGUGGUUGCGCCACCGGAAAGGAAGU